CGCAGUACUGCCAACUGUCAGAUACCCAACACACCCUGUGUUGCCUGUCUUCUCGUUGGUAAGAAGAAACGUGUUUUGUGCAGAAUUUUCAGUUCUUCGUUUUCGGUUCAGAAUUUUGUUUGUAAACACGAGUGUGGCGAAAAAAAUUUAGCCAAAUAUAAUUGAAAAAAUAGCUUUAGUGUUUUGCUCUAUACAACACAGUCGUACAAACAUAAAACGGCAGGGAAAACAACAACAACGUUAAGAAAAACAAAAACGACAAAAACAACAUAGGAAUCAGCCAUUAACCAACAGAGCCCGAGCCGUAGCCGUAGCCAUAGCUAGCCAACGAACGACAGAGCCAAAAAAUAAAGUGGAAUAAAUAGAAGAAGGAAGGUGAGCUGCAAACGGAGCAGGAUCGAUCGGAUGUAUUGAAAAGAGAAGUGCGCAAAGCGUGCGGAAAACAUUUCGAAUUUGGAAAAAUCUUUUGAAAACGAAAAAAGUAAAAACCUUGAGUUUUGACUGACCAAAACGACGAAAAAGGUUUUAAUAUUAGCAACAACGGGACAGUGGCCGAAUGUGAAUAGUGUGCAAAACGUGCAAGUGAAAAAUUAGUUAUAUAUUUUUUGUUACAAGAAAAGUAUUUUAGAGAAGACAGUAAUCGUGUAUAAUGAAAAUAGAGCAAUCAUAAUAUAAAAACAAACGCACAGUAACGCAACCAACCGCAUUUGUGGUGCAGCGCUAAAGCAUUUUUUCAUUCCGGAAAGUGAAGAAAAAACAGUAAUAAGAAAAAAGGCGCCGCAUACAAAUGGAAUUCUACCCCCACCAAAAGCAACCACAUACAACUCAGCAAGUGGAUGUCGGUUCUAUAUCCGGCCCGGCAACCAACACAAAUACUACCAAUAGUAACAACAACAGCAACAUUAACAGUGUUCGCAGCACAAACAACACCUCACCCACCUCCAACACAAUAAAUUCAAAAGCAACAACGGUCGGCGUCGACGCUGCCACUGUAGCCAUCGCCAAGGAUAUGCUCCAGUUGCAUCAUGGCAGUGGUACGGUACUGACUAAUAAUAACAAUAACACUAGCAAUAGCAGUAAUAAUAAUAGUAGCUCUGCCAUGGAGGCCAUGAAUACCACAACAUCAUCUAACGCCAACACCAAUUCGGUUGCUGCAGCUGGCAGCAGCAGUACAACCAAUACAGGUGUCGGAGCCAACGUUGGUCCUGCACCAACAACACCGAAUACCAAUCACCCACCUGCCCAUGCCACAGCCACCACCAAUUCGGAUGGUGGUGCAUCUGGCGUUUCAACGGCACCAGAUAACGCGCUCGGUUUUCUGAAAUACGAUCAGGAAUUAUUAUACAUCACCGAGCCAUGUACUAUUAUCGGACGCAACUCAUCUACAUCGCAUGUACAUUUUCACGUGGCGGAGAACAAUUUGGUAUCGCGAAAGCAUUUCCAGGUUCUUUACGAUGGAGUUGCGCACGAUUUUUUCGUACAGUGUCUAAGUAAAAAUGGCAUUUUUGUCGAUGACUUCUUGCAGCGACGCAAUGCCGAUCCACUUCGAUUGCCUAGCAGAUGUUACUUUCGCUUUCCCAGCACCGAGAUUCGCAUACAAUUUGAGAGUUUUGUGCUUGGCACCUUGAGUGCCGGAGCGCUCAACAGCUCGGCUAGCAGCGGCGUAUCAUCCGUACCGUAUCAUAACAAUAGCCAUCAUAACGUCGGUGCCCUACAGAAUAAUAGUGGUAUAGGAGGUGGUGGCAAUAGCGGCCCUGCUCAGUUUAUUAUUUCGCCUGCGCCUCCAGAUGAUCAUCAUCAUCCACAUGCGGCGACUGGUUCUUCAGCGCAUGCGUCAACACAUGGCGCUCAUCACCAUCAACAGCAUGUGUCCUCGAAUACAGUGUCGUCUUCGACUCACCUGCUGCCACAUAUGGACAAUUCGAAUGUUUAUUCGCCACUAAAGAUAUCCAUACCGAAGAAGGAGCAAAAGAGUCCAUAUCUCUCACCAACUGGUACAAUAAGUGCUGCUAAUAGUUGCCCAGCCAGCCCGCGCCAAGGUUUUCAUCAAAAUCAAGCCAAUUACAACAACAAUUUACAAAACCAAGAUUUAUUCCAAACACCAUCAACAGCUAGCUACUACCACAAUGAGAAACCACCAUACAGCUAUGCUCAGUUGAUUGUGCAGGCUAUUUCGGCAGCACCGGAUAAACAAUUGACUCUAUCGGGCAUUUAUUCUUUCAUUGUCAAACAUUAUCCGUACUACCGUAAGGAAACUAAUAAAGGCUGGCAGAAUUCUAUUCGCCAUAAUCUCAGCUUGAAUAGGUAUUUCAUUAAAGUGGCACGGUCUCAAGAUGAGCCCGGUAAAGGUAGUUUUUGGCGCAUCGAUCCCGAUAGUGGCGCCAAAUUGAUUGAUCAUAGCUACAAGAAGCGCCGUCAGCGCAGCAGCCAAAGUUUUCGCCCAUCAUAUGGUAUGCCACGUUCGGCACCAGUCUCACCGAGUCAUAUGGACAAUUCGCGUGAGAGUUCACCGCUACAGGAUUUUGUUUUGCAAUCGGCCCCAGGCUCGCCGGGCAUGUCACUCGAGCAGCGAGCUACCGAUGGUGAUCUUAUGUACAACAACACAACUCAGAAUAUGCACCAAUCGACGGCUAACAAUUCCCACAAUCAAUACAACAGUAGCGGAAGCCCAUACUAUGUUUCAAAUCAAAAUUCAGCUAUAACUGGUGCACAGCAACAACAUCAACAGCAGCAACAGUUACACAAUGAGAGUGGAGUUUUGGUUGGCAGUAGCGGAAAUGGUGUUGGCGCCUUGAUUGCACUCAAGCGCAAUCAUGCCAUGGCAGCUGGCGCACAACAACAGCAACAAGUGCAAACGCUACAUCCUGACAUUAUCUACGAGGAAAUGCCAACUGAUUACAGUGGCAAUAUGGAAUCGGGCGAUGAAUGUGGCAGCAUUGGUGGCGGUAAUAGCGGUGGUUCUAGUGAUGCUGCCAAACGCUCCAAAUACAUUUCCGAUGUACUCUGAUGUGUUGCUGUUGCUGUUUCCGUUUCUUCUAAUGUUUGCAAGUAAUUAACAGAAUUCAACAUAAAACAAAACAAAAUAUUUAAUAUUUAUCUGAUAAACAUUUGCCACCACAAAAUACCGCAUACACGCAUACAUAUAAUACUAGAUAAAACACGCGCUCACAAACAUAUAAUAUUUAUACCUCUACCCCGAAUGUAAAAAAAUGUGUUAUACAUAAAGCCCAAUUCAGAAAUCGGAAUUGUUUGAACCGUCAAACCCGCACUGAGGAAUAUGAAAAAAAAAUCCUUUUCCGUUUAACCUAUUUUUCCUUACAACGGCAAGCUAUCCAUGAAACCUUGUAUCAAGUUUUUAUUAGUAAAUAUGUGUCUACAAGCAGCAAAUAGAGCUUUUAAUAUUUUAUAUGCAUUUUUUUAAGUUUCGAUCAAACUGUCAUCUUUUAACUAAAUUGACUUCAAGUAAUAUAUAAGUACUACAAAGUAUAUUUUAAUAUUUUUCCGAAUUGGGCUAACAAAAAUUACUUAAAGCAGCAGCAGUGAGCCGGCGCGUAGUAAAAGACACAUUGUAACUCAAAACAGAUUGUAAAAAACACAAAGAUGAAGAGAAUUAAGAAGAGAAAACAAAAUCACAAAACUAAAGGAAUCUUGAAAACCAACUAGUAAUGAAACAUUUUUAUUAACACACCAUCGGUAUAUUGAAUUUGACAAAGUAUGUGAACAAGAAAUAAUUGUUUAAUUAUUUUUAUUCUUUCUGAAAUAUGAAUAUACAAACACCCUCUACUACUUUAAUAUUUGUUGUUAAUGAUUCCCGAAAUUGUAUACCUAACAUACUGUUUAGAUGUCAUUGUAUAUCCUGGACGAAUUCAAUAUGCUUGAUGAUGCUAUAUUACAUGAAAAAAGAGGGAAAAAACAAUUUAAUUACUAAAAAGUUGAAAAAUGCAAAAUGCACACAAAAAAAUAAACUGCAAAUUCGAAAAAUUGUAAACAAAUACAAACAUAUGAAAUGACAGUAGUACAUUUUAAAUGGUGAGAAUAAUAAAAAAUUAAAAUGCAAAUAAUAAUACAAAAUUAAUGCUAAAUAAUAAAGCAGCAUAUAUGGCAGGAAGCAUGGAGAUGUGAAUACAAAACAAGAAAAAAAAAUUAAUUAUUGUCGUGUGGCAACUGAAAAGGAAGGAAAAGAUUUAAUUACCUAUCUCUACAUACCUACAAUUAUAUCGAACAUAAAUCUAGAAAAAUAAUUACAACUAAUUACAAAAAUUUAAUUAUAAAUCAAGCAAACAAACAAGAACCCCACAAACAAAUUUAUGAUAAAGAUAAAUGUAUAAUGAUGAUUGCACUUUAUUUCUAUUAUAAUAAAGAAAACUCCAUUUCAAUGUUUGGACAAAAUGUGUAUUGAGAAGAAAUACAAGAAUAUAGAUAAUCUCUGUGUAUUCCUCAUUCUUUCAAAUAUCAACGUAAAAAAUGCUGUUUUAACUUGGUUGCAACGCACCCUAGUGUACGCGUGUAUGACGCUUUGCUGUUCGUCAGCGAGAAUAAGAAGUUGAAAAAAGUUUCUUUUUGUCCAGCAUGCUGUGCAAAUCUCUAAGUGCGUGUGAUUCGUCCUAAACCUGUUAACAAUGUGUUGAAGCAGAAUUAGCGACAAAAGACUUGAGCAAAAUUAGCAAAAGCAUAAAAAAUUUGAUGUUGUGCUUGCAUGUGCGACGCGCUUAAAGUAAAAAAGAAGUAUUCUUGGCUUUAACUUUGAAUAAAAUGAAUAGCAGAAGCGACAGCACACAACGGCUGCAGCACGUUUCGGUUGUUGUAGCUAGCGUUUGGAAAAUAAAAGAACAGAUGGACUUUACAUGCAUAGCAGCAUAAACAUUCUACAUAGAUUUUUGGAUAGUGCUGGUAAUUCCGGUAGCGCAGAAGUGACUUUCAUGGCCGAAAGAGCUGAUCGAGCAAAUUGUGAUUUGGUAUCAAGAUGAAUAGAAUACAAAAUUGUUUUUUCCGAAUUCGCUGCUACGUCAUGCUCCGAGAAUAUACAAGAAGGAGGAAAAGCAAUUACUUCGUUGUGAAGAGAAAAAUUAAGCUAAAGCAAUAGAGAUUGCCAAGUACGAGAACUUAUACAACCACACAUACACCCUUUGUUAUCGAAGCUAGUCGAAAAUCUUCAAAUUACAAUAUUAACAAGCCAUGCACUGAUUUUUUACAAACAAGUGAUGUUUUUUAUUUUAGCUCAUGACUUCAGCUGGUCGUCAAAAUCGCGAAAAAUAAAGUAACGGUUUUCGGAAGAUGCCACCUUUAGUUUCUGUAUACCUUUACUUGGUAUUAUGGCGCUCAUUCGAUGAACACAAUUGUGAAUUUCACUCGCUUGCGCUAAUCACAAUAGAUUAUUGCUAUCAGCUGACACGACAAAUUAAAAAAUUAAAAAAAAUUGCGAUUUCAUCAAAAUAUUAAAAAUAAUAGCCAGAGGUAAAAAACGGUUCAGGCGUGUCCAACCCCUUAGAAUUGAUUUCUACCGAAUUGUAAAAAACUUCCGACUAUCAAAAGAGGCGGGUGUGGACUUGCUAACUACUACAGAAAACCUGCUGCAGUAAUGCACCUGAGCCAAAUCUA